UGCCCAGCGACUCCUAUCCCUACCUCCACGCGGUACCGGCCGGAAACUAUGAGAAACCUUAGGGAAGAUCGGGUAACCAACCCCGGUGGGAACUUUGGUCGUAGGCUGAGAAGGAAGG
rfam:Aedes albopictus isolate Foshan contig118865, whole genome shotgun sequence.